AUCAGCUAGUUGGUAGUGUAACGGACUACCAAGGCUAAGACGGGUAGCUGGUCUGAGAGGAUGAACAGCCACACUGGAACUGAGACACGGUCCAGACUCCUACGGGAGGCAGCAGUAGGGAAUCUUGCGCAAUGGGCGAAAGCCUGACGCAGCGACGCCGCGUGAGUGAUGAAGGCCCUCGGGUUGUAAAGCUCUGUGGGGAGAGAAGAAUAAGUGCAAGCUAAUACUUUGCAUGAUGACGGUAUCUCCUUAGCAAGCACCGGCUAACUCUGUGCCAGCAGCCGCGGUAAGACAGAGGGUGCAAACGUUGUUCGGAAUCACUGGGCGUAAAGCGCGUGUAGGCGGCUUCUCAAGUCGGGUGUGAAAUCCCAGGGCUCAACCCUGGAAGUGCAUUCGAAACUGGGUAGCUAGAGUACUGGAGAGGAAGGUGGAAUGCUUGGUGUAGAGGUGAAAUUCGUAGAUAUCAAGCGGAACACCGGUGGCC
rnacentral:rRNA from 1 species